rnacentral:rRNA from 1 species
GUCGAGAAUCAUUCACAAUGGGGGAAACCCUGAUGGUGUGACGCCGCGUGGAGGAUGAAGGUCUUCGGAUUGUAAACUCCUGUCAUGUGGGAGUAAAGCCGGGUGUUAAAUGCAUGCCGGUCUGAGAGUACCACAAGAGGAAGGGACGGCUAACUCUGUGCCAGCAGCCGCGGUAAUACAGAGGUCCCAAGCGUUGUUCGGAAUCACUGGGCGUAAAGGGUGCGUAGGCGGCGCGGAAAGUCAGGAGUGAAAUCCCGGAGCUCAACUCCGGAACUGCCUUUGAUACUCCAGCGCUUGAGAACUGGAGGGGAGACCGGAAUUCACGGUGGAGCAGUGAAAUGCGUGGAUAUCGUGAGGAACACUAGUGGCGAAGGCGGGUCUCUGGACAGUAUCUGACGCUGAGGCUCGAAGGCCAGGGGAGCAAAAGGGAUUAGAUACCCGAGUAGUCC